ensembl:lncRNA
CUGGUAUGCUAUAUAGUUUAACAAUUGAACCCCUGUUACGGAAAUUUAGAGCAGAUUUAAAGGGUGUAACUAUUCCACAUUGUGAUAAAGUUUUUAAACUAUCAGCUUAUGCUGAUGAUAUUGUCAUUUUCAUCAAAGAACAAAGUGAUGUGUCAAAGUUAACAAAGAUUUUAAGUGAUUUUAUGGUUGUUUCCUCCGCUAAAGUAAAUUGGAAUAAAAGUGAGGCUAUUUUAGUUGGAAAGUGGACGAAUGGACAACCUAGUCUCCCUGCGGGGUUAAAAUGGAGUAGAGAUGGGUUUAAAUAUUUAGGUGUAUAUUUGGGAGAUGAUAUAACUGUAAAGAAGAAUUUUGAGGGGAUAGAAGGAAAAAUUGUGGGGCGCUUGAAUAAAUGGAAGUUUUUACUUUCUAAUAUGUCAUAUAGAGGGCGGGUUUUAAUUAUUAACAAUUUAGCAGCCUCUACUCUUUGGCAUUGGUUAGCAUGUAUUGACCCCCCAGCACUUCUUUUGAAAAACAUUCAAUCUAUAUUAGUUAAUUUUUUUUGGGAUAAUUUACAUUGGGUGCCACAAAGUGUUUUAUAUCUGUCUAAAAAUGAAGGGGGACAAGGUUUGAUUCAUCUACAGAGUAGAGUGGCAGCUUUUCGGUUAAAGUAUAUACAAAGGUUUCUUGAAGGUUCUGAGAACGAGAAUUGGAGUUUGGUUGCUUCCAUUAUUUUUAAAAAUUUUGAAGGUCUGGGUCUAGACAAGUCUUUGUUCUGGAUGAAUCUUAAGAAGUUUUCUGUAUCUAAGUUACCAAUUUUUUAUUGUAACUUAUUCAAAGUAUGGUCACUUUUUAAAGUAUUGAGAAGUGAAAAAAAAGACUCUUUGUACUGGACUCUUCAAGAACCUUUGAUUGGUGGAUCACGUUUGGAUGUGUCAAAUGAGGGAUGUUUUCCUGCUUUGAGAGACUUACUUAUUAAAUCCCAUAUUAUCACUCUUGGAAGCCUAGUUCGUAUAACUGGACAUGACUUAUCUGACUCUAAAGCAAUGGAAGAAGAGUUGAAGAUGAGGUCAACACGGGUAGUAACUCGGCUGUUGUCUAAGUGGAAAGAAAUCAUUACCAAAGAAGAGUUAAAAAUGAUAAAAAACUUUGAAGAAGGGUGGAUUCAACCAAAGACUGAUGAUCCUUUUCCGAAUUUGUCUUUAAGUCCUGAUUUAGAAAUGUGUGAUGGUUUUUUUUUGAAGAGUAAUAAUUUAAGGUUGUUGGGAAAAGAAAAAGCAUCCAGUAAAGCUAUGUAUGAGUGUUGUGUUAAAGCAUUAAAUAAGAAGAGUCUUGAUGGUAAAAUAGAUACACCAUGGCGCAAUGUCUUACAUUUAAGUGAGAACACAAGACCUAAAUGGGGGGCACUUUAUAAGUCACCAUUGCUUAAAAAAACAGGGGACUUGCAAUGGAGAGUUUUGCAUGGUACUAUAGCUGUUAAUGCGUUUGUUUCAGUGAUAAAUCAUGAAGUUAAUCAGGAAUGUCCAUUUUGUUCACAAAGAGAAACUGUGUUUCAUACUUUUAUGCAUUGUAUAAGACUAAGACCAUUGUUUAUUUUUUUACAAGAUGUAUUUAAACAGUUUGAUGAAGUCUUCUCAAUGGAGAUUUUCAUUUGUGGUUUUAAGUAUUUGAAAAAACGUUCUUAUGAAUGUCAGUUGUUUAACUUUUUUUUGGGUCAAGCAAAAAUGGCAAUUUAUGUAAGCAGAAAAAGUAAAAUUGAAAAAGAUUCUGAUACAGAUGUAAUAUUGCUCUUUUCAAUGCUGUUGAAAUCAAGAAUUCAAAUUGAUUUCCGCUAUUACAGUGCAACAAAGAAUCUAAUGUUGUUUGAGCAAAGAUGGUGUAUAAAAGGUGUUCUUUGUAAUAUAUUUAAUAAUACUUUGAUUUUUAACAACAUAUUGUGAGUUAAAAAAAAAACUCAGCUGUAUAUGUACUCUUGUGUGAAUUAAAACUGAUAAUAAAAUGUAUUUUUACAAAUCAAAUCUCUCUCUCUCUCUCUCUCUCUCUCUCUCUCUCUCUGUCUCGAUGUCUUCCCUGAGCAGCUCCACCAGCUUCCACUCAGUCCCUCACCUGUCCCAGGACACUUAGCAAAUAAACCAUGGCUGUUAACAACAACAGCACAUGCUCACUU